ensembl:lncRNA
GAACCAUCGCUUAGUUAUGCUGCUAUAGGCCUAGACUAUCGGGGGAUUUCCCAUGGUGCACUGAGCUCCUCCCUUCCUCUCUCUUUCUGCACUCAUUCAUGUCCCAUUAAUGCAUGUUACUAACUUCACUUCUUCCCCGGAGUUCUUGUGCUUUCUCGUCUCGCAGGUUCUUGUCGAUCCUGGUGGAGCCUCCUGCCAUGGUCCUGCUAGAUUGCCAUUGCCAAUACUGUUGUUGCUGUGCACCUGUCUGUCUGUCUCUCGCUCUCUCUCUCACCCCAACUGGUUGAGACAGACGACCCCCCACCUAGAGCCGGAGGAUCUGUCCUAGGUUUCUGCCUUUUAACAGGCACUUUUUCCUUGCCCUUGUCGCCAAGUGCUUGCUCAUGGUGGUACUGUUGGGUCUCUGUAAUUAAUGUUUUAAAGAGUUCGGUCUAGACCUGCUCUGUUUGAAAAGUGUCCUGAGAUAACUUCUGUUAUGAAUUGGCGCUAUACAAAUAAAAUUGAAUUGAAUUGAAUUGAAUUGAAGUUGCCAUUUAGGUUGUACACUGAUGCCAGCUUCAAAGGACUAGGUGCAGUACUCUCUCAGGGGGAGAAGGAGAGGGUUAUAGCAUAUGCCAGCCGAACUCUGAGCCCCAAUGAGCGGAAUGAUUACCUGUGGGGGGAACAGAUAACAGUUUUUACAGAUAACAACCCCUUAGUCCAUUUGAAUACUGCAAAUCUGGGCGCUGCUGAGCAAAGGUGGGCAGCACAGCUGGCUAACUAUGACUUUGUUGUAAAAUAUCGCCCAGGAAAGGAAAACAGCAAUGCAGAUGCCCUGUCACGGAGACCCCAAAAGGCACAACCCCAUACAAUGGCGGUGGGAGCAGAGGAGGAUGAAGCAGAUGGACCUCAGGAAUGGACAGGCCGCCAGCAGGAAGACUCCACACUGAAGCAGGUUAUAGCCAUGGUGCAACAAGGAUGGAGGAGGCUGGUGUGGAAGGAGUACCAUGAGGCGGCUGGCCAUAUGGCAGGGGCUAAAACCCUGUCCCUCUUAAAGCGGCGUUUCUACUGGCCUGGACAAGGGGAGGAUGUCCAUCGGUGGUCAACAGAAUGUGGGUACUGCCGGUCACAGUGACCACUGCCAGAGGUAAGGGCCCCACUAAAAUCUGUUGUCACUUCCUACCCUCUGGAGAUGGUAGCAAUAGACUACUUGUCCCUGGGCCGACAAGGAGAUGUUUUUUUUUUCGUUGCUACAGAUGUCUUCUCCAGGUUUGCAUGGGCAAUUCCAACCAAAGACCAGACUGCCACAACAGCUAAGAUGCUCUGGCAGCAUGUCAUCCAACCUUUUGGCUGUCCAGAGAGGAUACACUCAGACUGUGGGGCUGCAUUCGAGUCCUCAUUAAUGGCAGAACUGUGCCAAAUGUAUGGAGCCCGUAAGAGCCGAACAACCACAUCCCCAAGGAAAUGGCUCUGUUGAGAGAUUUAACCAGACUUUGUUAAAAAUGUUGAGUUCCUUAGAGGGGGAGGACCAUGCACUGUGGCCCCAGAAAUUACCAGAGUUGGUACAUGCGUAUAACAACUUUGUGAAUGAAUCCACUGGACUUUCACCUUUCUUUGUCAUGUUUGUCAUGUUUGGCAGGCAUGCCCGUCUCCCUGUGGAUGUAGUGAUGGGAGCCACUCGCCACGGG